rnacentral:rRNA from 1 species
ACUUAAAUUGAAGAGUUUGAUCAUGGCUCAGAUUGAACGCUGGCGGCAGGCCUAACACAUGCAAGUCGAGCGGUAGCACAGAGAGCUUGCUCUCGGGUGACGAGCGGCGGACGGGUGAGUAAUGUCUGGGAAACUGCCUGAUGGAGGGGGAUAACUACUGGAAACGGUAGCUAAUACCGCAUAACGUCGCAAGACCAAAGUGGGGGACCUUCGGGCCUCAUGCCAUCAGAUGUGCCCAGAUGGGAUUAGCUAGUAGGUGGGGUAACGGCUCACCUAGGCGACGAUCCCUAGCUGGUCUGAGAGGAUGACCAGCCACACUGGAACUGAGACACGGUCCAGACUCCUACGGGAGGCAGCAGUGGGGAAUAUUGCACAAUGGGCGCAAGCCUGAUGCAGCCAUGCCGCGUGUGUGAAGAAGGCCUUCGGGUUGUAAAGCACUUUCAGCGGGGAGGAAGGCGGUAAGGUUAAUAACCUUAUCGAUUGACGUUACCCGCAGAAGAAGCACCGGCUAACUCCGUGCCAGCAGCCGCGGUAAUACGGAGGGUGCAAGCGUUAAUCGGAAUUACUGGGCGUAAAGCGCACGCAGGCGGUCUGUCAAGUCGGAUGUGAAAUCCCCGGGCUCAACCUGGGAACUGCAUUCGAAACUGGCAGGCUAGAGUCUUGUAGAGGGGGGUAGAAUUCCAGGUGUAGCGGUGAAAUGCGUAGAGAUCUGGAGGAAUACCGGUGGCGAAGGCGGCCCCCUGGACAAAGACUGACGCUCAGGUGCGAAAGCGUGGGGAGCAAACAGGAUUAGAUACCCUGGUAGUCCACGCCGUAAACGAUGUCGAUUUGGAGGUUGUGCCCUUGAGGCGUGGCUUCCGGAGCUAACGCGUUAAAUCGACCGCCUGGGGAGUACGGCCGCAAGGUUAAAACUCAAAUGAAUUGACGGGGGCCCGCACAAGCGGUGGAGCAUGUGGUUUAAUUCGAUGCAACGCGAAGAACCUUACCUGGUCUUGACAUCCACAGAACUUUCCAGAGAUGGAUUGGUGCCUUCGGGAACUGUGAGACAGGUGCUGCAUGGCUGUCGUCAGCUCGUGUUGUGAAAUGUUGGGUUAAGUCCCGCAACGAGCGCAACCCUUAUCCUUUGUUGCCAGCGGUCCGGCCGGGAACUCAAAGGAGACUGCCAGUGAUAAACUGGAGGAAGGUGGGGAUGACGUCAAGUCAUCAUGGCCCUUACGACCAGGGCUACACACGUGCUACAAUGGCAUAUACAAAGAGAAGCGACCUCGCGAGAGCAAGCGGACCUCAUAAAGUAUGUCGUAGUCCGGAUUGGAGUCUGCAACUCGACUCCAUGAAGUCGGAAUCGCUAGUAAUCGUAGAUCAGAAUGCUACGGUGAAUACGUUCCCGGGCCUUGUACACACCGCCCGUCACACCAUGGGAGUGGGUUGCAAAAGAAGUAGGUAGCUUAACCUUCGGGAGGGCGCUUACCACUUUGUGAUUCAUGACUGGGGUGAAGUCGUAACAAGGUAACCGUAGGGGAACCUGCGGUUGGAUCACCUCCUUACCUUAAAGAA